CUGGGUCAUAAGUAGACGUUCCUUUAACUUCAUUAGGACCUACCAAACUGUCUUUCACAGUGGCUGCCCCAUUUUGCAUUCCCAUCAGUGAUGUUUGAGAGUUCCUGCUGCUCCACAUCCUCGCCAGCACUAGCUGUCCCGGCACCGCUGGUUGGAAAGGCUGUCCUUGGCCUGCUUUGGUGCCCUUUCAAGAAGACCAGCAGAAGGCAGGACCAAUCUGCUCUUACGGCUGCAGGUCCCAGAGGCACCGGGUGUGAGCCAGUGUGACUGGGGAGCGGGCCUCCCCUGGCAGGUGACGGGGCGGGCGGCACGCUGAGCAGUGAGGCCCGGAGGCCAGCAGCGUGGACUUGAACCUCCGGCGUCGGCAGCAAGCCAGUCUGUGUCUCCGGGGAGGAGACCGCGGGCCGGCCUCCGAGGACCCGGAGCCUGGCUUCCCGCUGCACCCGC
rnacentral:lncRNA from 1 species